rnacentral:rRNA from 1 species
UACAGAGGGUGCGAGCGUUAAUCGGAAUUACUGGGCGUAAAGGGUGCGUAGGUGGUUUUGUAAGUAACAUGUGAAAGUCCUGAGCUCAACUUGGGGAUUGCGUGUUAAACUGCAGAGCUAGAGUGUUGUAGAGGAUAGCGGAAUUUCCGGUGUAGCGGUGAAAUGCGUAGAUAUCUGGAGGAAUACCGGUGGCGAAGGCGGCAUCCUGGACCGGCAUUGACGCUGAGGAGCGAAAGCGAGGGGAGCAAACGGG